GGAGUCGGCCAGACAGUCGCGUCAUCGAGCAAUCGAUGCCGAGGAAAGUCCGGGCUCCACAGGGCACGGUGCCAGGUAACGCCUGGGCGGCGCGAGCCGACGGAAAGUGCAACAGAAAGAUACCGCCGAUGGCCCUGUCACCCCUUUGCCGCUUCCAUCAAGGAGCGGUUGCGCUUGCCGGCGAAGCCGGCCAAGUGCCUCCCGGAGACGGCAGAGGGGUGGCAGGGCACAGGUAAGGGUGAAAUGGUGCGGUAAGAGCGCACCGCGAGCCUGGCAACAGGCCGGCACGGCAAACCCCACCGGGAGCAAGACCAAAUAGGGAGGCUAUGCUGCGGCCCGCAGUGUCUCCGGGUAGGUUGCUUGAGCGUAUCGGUGACGAUGCGCCUAGAGGAAUGACUGUCCAAGACAGAACCCGGCUUAUCGGCCGGCUCCGCCA
rnacentral:RNase_P_RNA from 1 species